rnacentral:rRNA from 1 species
UACGAAGGGGGCUAGCGUUGCUCGGAAUUACGGGGCGUAAAGCGCACGUAGGCGGCUUCUUAAGUCGGAGGUGAAAUCCUGGAGCUCAACUCCAGAACUGCCUUCGAUACUGGGAAGCUCGAGUCCGGGAGAGGUGAGUGGAACUGCGAGUGUAGAGGUGAAAUUCGUAGAUAUUCGCAAGAACACCAGUGGCGAAGGCGGCUCACUGGCCCGGUACUGACGCUGAGGUGCGAAAGCGUGGGGAGCAAACAGG